GGGGGGGGGGGGCGGUGGUGGCGUUGGUUGCGCUCUCCUCUCUCUCUCGGUGCAGUUCUGCAGCCGUGGGGGCCGCGUUAAUGAGCUGCGGCGUUAAUGAGCUGCGGCGUUAAUGAGCUGCGGCGCUAACGAACCCCAACUGCUCCCUUCCUGGGGGUGGGAAUGGCUGAGAUUCGGGAACCGCGGAGCCCAAAAUGGCCCCAAUGCCCCAUUGACCCCAACAUCCCCAUAACCCCAAAGUCCCAUUGACCCCAACAUCCCCAUAGCCCCAAAGUCCCAUUGACCCCAACGCCCCACAACCCCACUGACCCCAAUGUCCUACAGCCCCAAUGCCCCACAACCCCACUGUCCCAUUGACACCAGUGUCCCACAACCCCAAUGUCCCAUUGACUCCAAUGUCCUACAGCCCCAAUGCCCCACAACCCCACUGUCCCAUUGACCCCAAUGUCCCAUUGACCCUAACGUCCCCACAACCCCAAUGUCCCAUUGACCCCCAUGUCCCACAACCCCACUGUCCCAUUGACCCCAGUGUCCUACAGCCCCAUUGUCCCACAACCCCACUGUCCCACUGACCCCAAUGUCCCACUGACCCCAAUGUCCCCAUUGACCCCAAUGUCCCCAUGGCCCCAUUGUCCCCACGACCCCAAUGUCCCACAGACCCCAACAUCCCAUGGUCCCGGUGUCCCAUUGACCCCAACAUCUCUUGACCCCGUGGCCCCAUUGUCCCCAUGACCUCAAAUGUCCCAUUGACCUCAAUGUCUCACAGUCCCAACAUCCCAUGACCCCAAUGUCCCGUUGACCCCCAAUGUCCCACAACCCCAAUGUCCCACAACCCCAAUGUCCCACAACCCCAAUGUCCCACGACCCCAGCGUCCCAUUGACCCCAAUGUCCUAUUGACCCCCCACAUCCCAUAACCCAAACGUUCCAUUGACCCCAAUGUCCCAUUGACCCCCCCCCACAUCCCAUGGCCCCAGUGUCCCAUUGACCCCAACGUUCUAUUGACCCCCCCACAUCCCAUAACCCCAACGUUCCAUUGACCCCAAUGUCCCACACCCCUAACGUCCCAUUGACCCCCAACGUCUCAUGACCCCAAUGUCCCACGACCCCAAUGUCCCAUUGACCCCAACGUCCUAUUGACCCCCCACAUCCCACAACCCCAACAUCCCAUUGACCCCAAUGUCCCACAACCCCAACGUCCCAUUGACCCCCAACGUCUCAUGACCCCAAUGUCCUAUUGACCCCCACAUCCAAUAACCCCAACAUCCCAUUGACCCCAAUGUCCCACAACCCCAACGUCCCAAUGACCCCCAACGUCUCAUGACCCCAACAUCCCAUUGACCCCAAUGUCCCACGACCCCAACGUCCCAUUGACCCCAAUGUCCUAUUGACCCCCCACAUCCCAUGACCCAAACGUUCCAUUGACCCCAAUGUCCCAUUGACCCCCCCCCCCCCCACAUCCCAUGGCCCCAAUGUCCCAUUGACCCCAACGUCCUAUUGACCCCCCAAAUCCCAUAACCCCAACGUUCCAUUGACCCCAAUGUCCCACAACCCCAACGUCCCAUUGACCCCAACGUUCCAUUGACCCC
ensembl:lncRNA